AUUGAACGCUGGCGGCAGGCCUAACACAUGCAAGUCGAGCGAGCGGCGGACGGGUGAGUAAUGUCUGGGAAACUGCCUGAUGGAGGGGGAUAACUACUGGAAACGGUAGCUAAUACCGCAUACCAUCAGAUGUGCCCAGAUGGGAUUAGCUAGUAGGUGGGGUAAUGGCUCACCUAGGCCACGAUCCCUAGCUGGUCUGAGAGGAUGACCAGCCACACUGGAACUGAGAACCGGUCCGGAUUCCUACGUGAGGAAGCAGUGGGGAAUAGUGCACAAUGGGCGAAGGCCUGAUGCAGCCAGGCCGAGUGUAUGAAGAAGGCCUUCGGUUUGUAAAGUACUUUCAGCGGGGAGGCGUUACCCACAGAAGAAGCACCGGCUAACUCCGUGCCAGCAGCCGCGGUAAUUC
rnacentral:rRNA from 1 species